AAGAGGGGGGCGGUAAACGAGGUCCGAUACAGCCUUUCUUCAUAGAGUACGUAGUGGGCGGACUUCUUGACAAGUCGCCGAGCUUGAUCUUCGUCUUCAGAGAGGAUCCCUUCGGCGAGGUAGGCGACGAGCGGGUCCAUCCAAGAUGGCUCCGGAUCAAUCGCCAUCACCGCUCCAGCCUCGCCGAUGCUCGGGGCAUCCAGGGUCUCCAGGUAGAUU
rnacentral:lncRNA from 1 species